GGUUGCUUCUCCAAGAUGGCGGACGGGGAGGCUCCGCUCCUCCGGCCCCGCGACGGCGGCCCCGGCGCCGCGGCCGAGAGCGUCGAGCCCGCGCCCAAGCGCCAGCGCCUGAACUCGGAAGACGGCGUCUGCGGCCGGGGCGCGCCGCCCGCCCACCGCCCGGACCGGGGCGCGGGGCCGCCUCCCGCCGCCGCCGCCGCGACGGAACCUCCGGGCGAUGCGGCGGCCGUCAGCGCCGACGGCGACGUCCGGGCGCGGGAGGAGGACGGCGGCGCGACGACGGAGGGCCGGAGCGGCGCGGACAAUAGGGCCGCGCAGCGGGGCCUGGCCCGGGCGGAGCCGCCUCCGCAGCCGCGGCGGCAGGGCCGGGGGGAGGGGGCGGAGGCGGCGCCCGGCGAAGACGCGGCGGAGGCGGCCAUUGGCUGCGAGCGGGCGCAGCGUUCAAACGGGGCGGCCGGAGCGCCGGCCCCGCAGCCCGAUAACUUCCUUUUAAGUGAUGAAAUCAUAGCCAAUGGUUUCCACUCCUGUGAUAGUGAUGAAGAUGACAGAGCUUCACAUGCAAGUUCUAGUGACUGGACCCCAAGACCACGUAUAGGUCCUUAUACUUUUGUUCAACAGCAUCUCAUGUUAGGCACAGACCCACGGACAAUUCUUAAAGACCUGCUCCCAGAAACGAUCCCUCCACCUGAACUGGAUGAUAUGACACUGUGGCAAAUUGUCAUAAACAUUCUUUCCGAACCACCAAAAAGAAAAAAACGAAAAGACGUUAAUACUAUUGAUGAUGCAGUGAAACUUUUACAGGAGUGCAAAAAAAUCAUGGUCUUGACAGGAGCCGGGGUGUCUGUGUCUUGUGGAAUACCCGACUUUAGAUCAAGAGACGGCAUCUAUGCACGCCUUGCUGUAGACUUCCCAGACCUUCCAGAUCCUCAAGCAAUGUUUGAUAUAGAAUACUUCAGAAAGGAUCCCAGGCCAUUUUUUAAGUUUGCAAAGGAAAUCUACCCAGGCCAGUUCCAGCCAUCUCUCUGCCACAAGUUCAUAGCUUUGAUGGAUAAAGAAGGAAAAUUGCUUCGUAACUAUACUCAGAACAUAGACACAUUGGAACAGGUUGCAGGAAUCCAAAGGAUAAUUCAGUGUCAUGGUUCCUUUGCAACAGCUUCCUGCCUGAUCUGUAAAUACAAAGUUGAUUGUGAAGUUGUUCGAGGAGAUAUUUUCAAUCAGGUUGUUCCUAGAUGUCCUCGCUGUCUGCCUGAUGAACCACUUGCUAUCAUGAAGCCUGACAUAGUGUUCUUUGGAGAGAACUUACCUGAGCAGUUCCAUCGCGCCAUGAAGUAUGACAAAAAUGAAGUUGAUCUCCUUAUUGUCAUUGGGUCUUCACUGAAAGUAAGACCGGUAGCAUUGAUUCCAAGUUCCAUCCCCCAUGAAGUGCCUCAGAUCUUAAUUAAUAGGGAACCUCUGCCUCAUCUACACUUUGACGUGGAGCUUCUUGGAGACUGUGACGUUAUUAUUAAUGAAUUAUGUCAAAGGCUAGGUAGUGAAUAUACAAAACUUUGCUACAACUCAGUAAAACUUUCAGAAAUAACAGAAAAGCCUCCACGAAUGCACAAAGAGCUCGAAAUGCACUCAUCUGAGCUGCCACCUACACCCUUAAACAUUUCAGAAGACUCUGGUUCACCAGAACAAAUGACUCCACCGGAUACUUCGGUGGUGCCCUCAGAACACGCAGCUGAAUGUAAGGUAGAAAACUCUGAUCCUGCCUCUGAAACUAAAGGGAUCUGCACAGAGGAAAAGCUUCAAGACACACAGGCAUCCUCUGAAAACCCUGAAAAUCCUGCUAGUGAAUUAAUGAACUCUGAAACGAUGAAGGAAAAUGGAACCAACAAUGGAGAAAGCAAAGAAAAAAAUGAAAUAGUGAAGAAGUGCUGGGUAAACAGAUCUGCAAAAGAACAGAUCAGCAAAAGGCUGGAUGGGAAAGACACAAGCACUUGAACAGCACAGAAGAGGAGGUAUCAACAGGUUUUGUGCUUGAAUUCUGGGUACAAAGACCUUGCUUUGAGAGCAGAUUUCUGUAUAUCAGUAUUAGUAAACCAGACGUAUUUCAACAAAGCAAUGUGUUUGUCUUACAAAGAGAUACAAAAAACAACUCUACUGCUGUCUCUUUCUAACUGAAAUCAGAAGGCACUAAUGAAAAAGAAAUUGCUAAGUGAUACUUUCAAUAAAAUACCAUACUAAUGGGUAAGUGCUCGGGAAGGCCUUGGAAGCUUUCUUUCACAGCAUUACUAAAUGGUAGACUCAGUGCAGAAGUAGCAUAAAAAAAAGUCUAUUCCAUAUGCAACACCAUGUAAAGGACAGUAAGAUCUCAGGACCAACAUGAGGGAAAUUGUAAGACACAGUGUUAGCAAAAUUGGCUCGCUGUAGAAAGAUUGAUGCAGGGCUUUGUGCCAGUUCCAAUCUAGAAGAAUCAAUGGGGAUGAUUUGCUAUUAAAUUGAAGGUGGAGAAAAGAGACUUCAGAUUUCUAUAAAACUUAAAUACAUUUUUAAAGAGUUAAAGCAAACGACUUCCAUGCUGCAGUGAUUUGUACUAACAGUGAUGAAAAACAAAAAAAGCCCAUUACUUAAUUCUAAGUGUCUCCUGCGAAUACACUAAAACAAGCUCCUACUGUUGAAUUACUAAUGAAAACACUGUUUUUUCACUAAGGCAGCAGAUACCAUCAUGAUAGACUCCCACAUCAACACAUACACAUGCACAUAAGAAAAGCCAGUUUUUAGGGAAAGAAAAUCAUGCCAGGUACAAAUGGGUGAUCAUUCUCGAGCUUUUGAAAAGUUAUACUUUGUAGAAACUACUUCUAGGUGCAUUAAUUUGUUUCUGAUAAACACAUAUAGUUUUCUUUGCACAGGCAAAUGCUGGUGGAUGAAAGGACUAACUAGCUUAAAUGCGAUCUACAUGAAAAUACGAUGUGCAGCCUGACUUCGUGCUACAUGGGAACACAGGAAAGUGAGCAAUUGUCAAUCUAGUUCACAACUCAAGUGAGUUCAAGUCCAAAGUUGAAAAGUUACUAUCACAAUUUAUUGCUCAAGUAUCAUACCCAAGUAUGAAAGUGUCAUUAAAAUUCAAAUAUUCUUCCUUCUCUGUCCUCUCUAACAGAGACUUCUUGGCAGAGUUUUGGUGAAUACGCCAGAAGUUGUACUAUCUUAGAAGCACACAAAAGGCUAACCCAUGACUGGCUCAAUGCAUUAAUUCAUUAUUAUUUUUUAAUUACUUAUCAGGGUAAAUGGUUGAGAAACAGCUCUGUGGGUUUUGAUACAAAGCAGAUAAACUGCAGAUAGCUUGUGUGUAUUCAAAGCUUUCAUACUUUGCUGUCAUAAUGGAUAAGAGCACCAUGAAGCAGUACAUCAUGCAGCAGGGGUUGUUUCCUAUUUGAGAACUCAAAGGCCCCUUUGAGUUGUAAACAACAGAAAUCCCUCUGAUUUAAUCAUGACCAUCCCAGGCAGAAACGUACUGCUGAAAGUGCUAUAAGAUUUCCCUAUCAAAUGGCAUUAAAUACUGCAAAUAAGUGAAUUUUGAAAGAUAAAUACCUAAAUACUGAACAUAGGUGACAGUUACCCCAUCACCUUCAGCAACAGUUUGCCAUUAUGCUUCUCAAACUUUGAAACAGAGUUUUGUUGUUGUCGUUGCUGUAUUUUAAUUACAACAAAACAAACACACUAUAAAAUGAAAGGGCAGAAGUUUGGAAGUACAACUAAUAUCCUUUUCUGACCAAGUUCACUUUGUACACCUACCUCUAGACUUCUACCUUUUACAUCACGGAUAUUUGAAUCUCACAACCCAGAAACAGUUUAAUCCCAGUGCUGCUAGUAAUACUCAGCAGUUAUGGAAAUCCCUCUUUGCUGCAAUUUCAGCUUCCACCCAGCAGAUGGGGUGAGCUUUACAGCUAAGAGCUGGUGAAGUUUAGCAAAUGCUUUUAUGGUAGGGAAAUGUAUGACAUUUAAGUCUCUUGUUCUUCAACUUUUUGCAACUUCUCCUUCCUUGAAGUGCCACUGUGUGACACAGACAUAACCUGUGAGAGCACAGAGCCCUUAACAGGUUUGUGUCGUCAGGUUCAUCAAGCUGUCCAUCACACUUAAUGCAAAAUGUAACAUAGCUUGGCAUCACUAUAUGCAUAAUGCUAGAAGGAUUAAAUGUAAGAGUUAACACAAUGCUAUAUGAUUUAAAUCGGCAGAGAAAUACUCUGUCCCGCCACUGCUAAAUGAAAAUUAAUCUUUCUGCAUCCACCACCAUGUUUAUGAAAAAUUAUAUUAGUUUGGUAGUCCACAGUUCUGUCCUUAAGGCAUAUAAGAAUGAAAAGCUGAAGGAAUAAGCUUUGUGUUUUUCAUUUUGGCUAUCUCUAGUCAAGUACGUAUUGUUUAGGAAAGACCACACAGAAGGCACAGCAAACAAGAUCACUCCUUCUUGCAAAACGUCCACCUACUGUUGUUCCUUUUUAAAAGGAUGUAGAAUCACCAGCAGUCUCAGAUUCCGUAACAGCAGUGUCAACGGUGUCAUCUGAUUGAGACUGACUUUGCUCUUGGGAUCCCUUUUUUAUUUUCUUUCUUUUCACGUUGAUGUCAGAACUCUGAGUCUCAGUAUCAGGGGAAGUAGCAGUUCUGCCAGAAGUGGCACUAGCUGUGCUUUUUAUCCCUCCAGUACCUCUGGAAUUAACACUGAUUUCACUUCCGUUCUUACUGACAGUUUCCUCCUUGUCACUACCAUCUGUAUCAACCUCUUCUGCGCUUUCAUCCCCAUUAUCCCCACUGUUAACACCCGACUUUCUUCUCUUGUCUUCUUCCGUAGCAGCAUUUUUAGCACUUUUUGCAUUUGCAGAUGUUUUAGAAACUGUCUUAUUCUUUGUGUUAUCUAUUGUCUCAUCAGGGCUUGCACCGACUUGCUCCGCGUCUGCUUGCUCAUCUUCUUCUGAAACCUCUUCUAUCGUGUCUUCUAUUUCAAGGCUGGCAGAGGAGGUUUUGCUCUUGUAGCUGGAUCCCGAUGUUUUCCUGUAGCUUGCACCUGAUGUGUUCGAGCUGACUGAUUUCUGGCUGGAUCGCCUUGCUCUGCCACGAGAGCUACUUCCCCUACUUUUUGUACUUGACCUUCCAGUACUACUUCUACUGCUGGACUCACUAGUUCCCGAUUUGCUGAAUGAACUUUGUGUAGAUGAGCUUUGUGACAGGCUAUCGUCUUCAUCGCUGUCAGACUCUUCCUCAUCGCUGUCCUCUUCAGAAGAGUCCUCCUCUGAUUCACUGCUAGAGCUGGAUCCAGAGCCAUCAUCGGAAUCACCGAUAUCGUGUCCAGAUUCCUCAUCGGAGUCCACGGUACUUUCAGUGGCUUCAUCUUGGUCCAGAGUUACUGUCAAAUAGUCUUUAUCUUCUGACUCCGACCCAGAGCUACUACUCUUCGCGGAGGACUCAUCCGAGCUGUAUUUUCUUCUCCUCUUCUUCUUCUUCUCAUAAUCACUUUCCUCAUGUUCGCUCUCUGCUGUGAUACUUAUUGAAACUCCUGACUUUGCUUCAUCUCUUUCUUCCUCUUCUUUUCCUCCCACAUGCACUGCAUCUUUGCUAGUAGGCUCUUGAAAUUUUCUGGAGACACUGAUGCGUUUUAACACAUGAUUUAGCUUUCUCAUUGAAGGUCUGUCAUCUGUUGAUUUCUGGAAGUAGCUUCCCCUGAUAAUCAUGCUUUUCUCACCAUCCGCCUGGCGAGCUGACAUCAACUUGGCGUAACUGGAAUCCUUCCUACUGCCUUUCACUUUCUGCAGAAUCAUUGGGAAUAUCUUUGCUUUCUUCCAUGGAGAAUGAGCAGACUCACUUCUUCCUACUGGUUUGUGAGCACUGACUGCUACACGACUUAAAUGCAUCACUGCUUUUAGUUUUCUCCUUCCCUGGCUGGUUCUAUAUGCUCUUCCAGAGCCAUGCCUUAGAUCCAUCCCACCAUCUAAAGGUCUACCUUCUAUUUGAGCCCCUGCUCUCUGGCUUAUACCUCUGCUCGAAGGACCUCUGCUUUGACUCAUUCCCUGCAAAUUAUGAAAACGGAACUUGAUUAAAAUUGGAAGGAUAGUUAUUAUGAAAACUUGUAUCCCCAAAGUAAAUCAACAGGAACAAAUGCAACACUUCUUUUCCAGCACCAAAACUAAUGGGUUUUAGGAUAUCUUCUCACAAAAGUUAUGGGGAAAGUUUAACUUUUAGAAGAGGCUGCAAAUGCACAACUACCUUGCCUUGCAACAGAGAAAAAGACUGGCUCAUAAAUGUUCUCUCUUCUCAUUUAAUUAAAACCCAUGUGAUGGAUUAAGAAUCUAGUAAUUAUGAAUAUUAAAUAAAAAAGUGAACAAUUUCAUCUCCUUUCUUCUGGCUGCCUCUGACAUUUUAAAUUUUCUUUACAUUCAGUUGUGAACUCUACGUUAAAUUAGCUUAGGUGACUGAUUUUCUCACUGGAAAAUCACCAGUUAUAGGCUGAAUAUUAGUAAUACUCCCUUCAGUUAACAAUAUAAAAGGGAAUUACCUAAGGCUACGUGGACUUUUCAUUGAAGUAGAAAUCUACAUUAAGGGAAAAAGCUAUGUGCAUACUAAAAGAAACUUCGCAAUUACUUUUUUAUUUCUCUAAAAAGGAAGAGAGGUGCUCAUGCAAACGCUAGCAGUCAUCUGAAGGGCAAACGAUAAUUAGGAUUGGAAGAGCUGAUUAUUUGGUCUAUAUACAAUAUUCUCAGUAUUCUAAUACAUUAAAAAAAAUCCAUUUGAUAAGGUUUACAAUUGCUUCAGCUUGUUGCAGAGACAGAAUCAACAUGCCAGAGCUGCUUACCUCUUCCGCUGUUGAUCCAUGUGGACUAUAGUAGUAGCCGCCAUCAUUCUCCACCAUGACUUCCCCAUACUCAUCAUACAUCCCUGAAGGAGACAGCAAGCGGCGGCGGCUCCCAUACUGAGGCAGUUCAUACCUGGCAAAAAACCCACCAGGUCUUUGUAACAUGCAUGUAUACAUGAUGUAUUCACGCAUGUCUUCACACAGAGCAACAAAUACACACACACACCCUUAAAGGACAUGACUUUCUUUACUUACUAUCUUUUUUUUCCUCUGCCAUUAAGAAGGAUAUUUAAUUUUUGCUGUUGUUUUUACACCAGCAGUAGUGCAAUCUGAAGCCUCCUCCUAUUGGAACCAGCCAUAAGCCACUACAACUGGAGGAAGCUCAAACUGACAGGUCUCCAGAAUCUCCCAACUGCAAUAACCUGACUUCCAGAUGCUGUGAGGACAGACUGCACUGGGCUGCAGAAAAGGCCUGUGUUGAACCCACGCGGAGGGCUGUAGCAGAUGAUUCGACCUGCUGCUCUAAAACACAAAAAGCAAUGGAGCCAAUUCCCUAGGAAACUUUUUGGCAGUCAAGCUGCAAUCCUCCAUCCUGGAGAUGAUGUUUGUGCCACAGUGUUUACCAGCCACCAGUGCAUCUAUGCCUCCUGAACGCAUCCAGUCUUUCUGAACCACUCUGGCCUCUAAAACAUCCAGUUUUACAACACAGGCUGUACAGAAGAAGUCCGUUGAUAGAAUCAGUAAUUUAAAUGUAAGCAGGGAACAGCCUUACCUCUUGCUGUGCAUAUCCUCGCCUUGAGGUCAGAAAAAGAAAAAGAAUACAUUAGUAUACUUCUGCUUGACUACACAAAGAUGCAUAUUGCCAUUCUUUCUGGAGAGAGGUGAAAAGAUAAUGUGAUUAGAAAUAUUACUAGCAAGAAAAGAAAUGCGUAUCUACAAUACAAAAUAUGUCUGUCUUUAGAUUCGCUCUGCACGUACAAAUUGUUGCAGGAGGAAGGCUAGUGAAUCUUUGGGAUCUUUUCUUGCUUUAGAUUGCAAAUGAAUGAGAAGAAAUCCCUAAUCCCCAAAAGCCAGAGAGCCAGUGCACCCAGUGCAACACAGCAACGGGGAGCAGGGUAAAUAAACGUUAAACAAGCAUAGGCUUGGUUUUCCUUCUGUUCUCAAAAGAUGUUCUGUCAAGUCACCUUCUCUGUUGUCUCUGAGACCUAGAAAGACCAUCUACAUGAGUACAUCUACAUCUACAAUGAGACUGUUAUUUCACAUACCUUUUUUAAGCACUGAAACAGUUUAUCUUCUACUUCUGGACGUAUCUACAGUGGACUUGCAAGAAAUUGGCCUGAAGCUUCCAUUAGUAAUUUAACUACAUCAUUAUCAUAAUUACAUAUUUCCUAACACUUGCUCAGCAGGGGGGGAGUGGUAUUAUUUGUGCUAUCUAUGAUUAUUGUGCCACAGGCUUUGUGCUGUUGAUCUCUGGAAAUUUCUUUGCCUAUUUGAAUUCAUUUUCUUGGAGCCAUUCAUAGGCAUGACAAAUGCACUUACACCUAUCGAGGUCUGUAUCUUCACAUUUUGUGCCAGAAAAUUAAAAUGAUUAAGAACAGCAGUAAGCAAUUUAAGUCUUUGUAUCACGGUUUUUGUUUUGUUUUGUUUUUUAAAUUAUUAUUAUUUAUUAAGAAAAGAAGACUAAAUGUUCAAAAGUAUGCUGAACUUAACAUACUGCAUAGUCAACAGUCUCGGAGAAUCCAUUAAUUACACUUGAGCAAAUAAAAAAGAACAGAGUACAAAUC